UACAGAGGGUGCAAGCGUUGUUCGGAAUUAUUGGGCGUAAAGCGCGUGUAGGCGGCUUUGCAAGUCGGGUGUGAAAGCCCUCAGCUCAACUGAGGAAGUGCGCCCGAAACUGCAGAGCUUGAGUACCGGAGAGGAUGGCGGAAUUCCCCAAGUAGAGGUGAAAUUCGUAGAUAUGGGGAGGAACACCGGUGGCGAAGGCGGGUUGCUGGGCUGAUACUGACGCUGAUGCGCGAAGGCCAGGGGAGCAAACGGG
rnacentral:rRNA from 1 species